CGUAGGGGCCUAGCGUUGUCCGGAUUUAUUGGGCGUAAAGAGCUCGUAGGCGGUUCGGUAAUUCAGGUGUGAAAUCUCCACGCUCAACGUGGAGGCGCCACCUGAAACUGCCGUGACUCGAGUCCGGUAGGGGAGUGUGGAAUUCCCGGUGUAGCGGUGAACUGCGCAGAUAUCGGGAGGAACACCAGUGGCGAAGGCGGCACUCUGGGCCGGUACUGACGCUGAGGAGCGAAAGCGUGGGGAGCGAACAGGAUUAGAUACCCUGGUAGUCCACGCCGUAAACGUUGGGCACUAGGUGUGGGACUCUAUCGACGGGUUCCGUGCCGUAGCUAACGCAUUAAGUGCCCCGCCUGGGGAGUACGGCCGCAAGGCUA
rnacentral:rRNA from 1 species